rnacentral:tRNA from 1 species
AAAGAGUUAGUUAAUAAAUAAUAUUGGUAUGUCAAACCAAAGUAGCUCCACGAGCACUUUUUU